CCCCCACACCCCCUUUUAUAAUACAGCUGCGCUUCUCAAAGCAUUCUCAGCUACCAGCAACAGAAUCUUGCUCCCUUUUGCAUUUUUAAAAGCUUGGAAACACUCACUUCUCAGCAUAUUAAUGGCGUCAGAGAUGAAAGAGGUUGAGAGACAUAGCUGAAACCCAAGGUCCUUUUGGAGAUGCUCACUUUAGAGAAAAGGACAGCUCAAACAGAAGAGGACUUGAGGUCCCACCACAGUGCUCAUGAAGAAGGAUAACCUGCAUCAGUGCAGCUUUCUUUGCACCAUCAGACACAGUGUUCAUUUGAUAAACCUGCAAGAAGUAAGGCGUAACAGUUCCCAGAAACAUGGUAAUGUUGCUGUUUACAUCUUAACCUGCCUUUCCAUGUUCUAAGCACUUGACGGAUAUUCCCUAAUCCAUCUGGGAAUUCAGCUCUGUACAGUCCAUAUAGAAAAAGCAGCUCUUGAGAAGACAACGACAGUCAAGGAGAACCACUUGAGGCAGGUUAGGAUGACCCUUUACAAAGGAAGAACAUUGUGGGACCAAGGCAGAGUUGAACUACGAACUACGAAUGAACUACGAAACACCAGAUAGAAAGUUUGAAUAACAAUCUAAACUGUUGGCUGAAAAACUCAUGUCUCUGUGUGAUGCCAAAUGUCUGAAUCUUCUGAGAGUCACUGAUACAGGACCUCAGCCAAUGCAUCUGUUGUCUGUUUGGACUGUACUUAAAAAAAAAAAAAAAAAAGAUCUGCUUUAUUAAGCUGCUCUCAUUUGAUCCUUAGCCAUGGAAAUCUCUGCAGUUUACUGCAGAUGGAAGACUCUCUAUCUUGCCAGUGCCAAUGAGGGUUGCCAGCCAUGGCUGGCAACCUGGAAUUAUUCUGAGAUGAACACGUUCAAAACCAUCCACAAAUUGAUAUUAAUCAUAAUAAUACCUGUAUAAGAGCAAUCUAAUGGUUACAGUGACAUUACAUUAGUAUUUUGAUGAUUGGACAGUGGAACAGACUGAGUUAAAAUACCAGAGAUUUACAGUUUGUCUAAGAGACUGAAUGGUUUAAAUCCCACAACUGACCAGGCAACCAGAACUUGAAAAUUAGAAUGUGCAAGAAUUUAAAUGAGUUGAUUUCUGCCUGUAACGAAUCCUUCUUUUGUUUACAUUUUUGCUUUUAUAUAUGUCCUUCUAUUAUAUAUCAGAUGAAUAAAGGCUAUUUAUACUUCGGUUUUUUUAAAGAA